rnacentral:rRNA from 1 species
CACGCCGUAAACGUUGAGAACUAAGUGUUGGGGAGACCCAGUGCUGAAGCUAACGCAUUAAGUUCUCCGCCUGAGGAGUACGCACGCAAGUGUAAAACUUAAAGGAAUUGACGGGGGCCCGCACAAGCAGUGGAGUAUGUGGUUUAAUUCGAAGCAACGCGAAGAACCUUACCAGGGCUUGACAUCCUCGGACGACACUAGAGAUAGUGUUUUCUCUUCGGAGACUGAGAGACAGGUGG